rnacentral:rRNA from 1 species
UCCACCCUAAGUCCUAUAAUGAGUAAGGUUACUCGGACGUGGCCCACAGAGGGUGAAAGGCCCGUGGGGGUGGAGACUCUGUUUGGCCAGUAUCUUCCUGAGCAGACCUUGGAGUCGGGUUGUUUGUGAAUGCAGCCCAAAGUGGGUGGUAAACUCCAUCCAAGGCUAAAUACUUGCACGAGUCCGAUAGCGAACAAGUACCGUGAGGGAAAGUUGAAAAGUACUUUGAAGAGAGAGUAAACAGUGCGUGAAACCGCUCAGAGGUAAACGGGUGGAGUUGAACUGCAAGCUCCGAGGAUUCAGCUGGUGAGAUUGGCAUGAGCUUGGUCAUGUGGGUUGUGAGUUCGGGUCUGCUUAGCUGCAGGUCCUCGCCUUUGGUGGGGAUGCGCGUAUCGCUUAUCAAGCGUUGUGCGCCCGGGCUUCUCGAGCCUUCUCGCUAGUGCACUUUCUCGGAGUGUUCACCACGACCGGCGUUGCUGUCUGGCUGGUGCGGUUAAACCGGUCUUGUAGGGUCCUUGUGGCCUUGCUUGGUCGGGAUGGCAGGUAGCCCGUUGUGUACUUCGGUGUGCUUCGGGUGUAAUAGCCGACUGCAUCGGUUCUGUGCGGUACGUCGGAGACGGCGGCUUGUUGUGCGUGCGGGCGUGCCUGUUGCGCUGGCGGCUCUGAGUCUGGUUGCCUUGUUGCUUGUAAAUGCAGGCCUGGUGAUGGCUCGGGGUCGUUUGGUGUGCGGUUGCGUUCGUGGCACUUUAAAGGGCCUAAAGUCUGUGGUGUAGUGGUAGACUAUCCACCUGACCCGUCUUGAAACACGGACCAAGGAGAGUAACAUGUGCGCGAGUCAUUGGGCGUUACGAAACCCAAAGGCGAAGUGAAAGUAAAGGUUCGGCUUGUCCGGACUGAGGUGAGAUCCUGUCGUUUCUCACGCCUGGUACUACCAAGCAUCGAGCGGCGGGCGCAUCACCGGCCCGUCCCAUGGCGUAGUGGCGGCCUCGUGCCUGCUCAUCGUCGGGGCGGAGCAUGAGCGUACAUGUUGAGACCCGAAAGAUGGUGAACUAUGCUUGCGCAGGUUGAAGCCAGAGGAAACUCUGGUGGAGGACCGCAGCGAUUCUGACGUGCAAAUCGAUCGUCAAACGUGAGUAUA